AGAGUUUGAUCCUGGCUCAGAUUGAACGCUGGCGGCAUGCUUUACACAUGCAAGUCGAACGGCAGCGCGGGGCAACCUGGCGGCGAGUGGCGAACGGGUGAGUAAUAUAUCGGAACGUACCCAGAAGUGGGGGAUAACGUAGCGAAAGUUACGCUAAUACCGCAUACGAUCUACGGAUGAAAGUGGGGGAUCGCAAGACCUCAUGCUUUUGGAGCGGCCGAUAUCUGAUUAGCUAGUUGAUGAGGUAAAGGCUCACCAAGGCGACGAUCAGUAGCUGGUCUGAGAGGACGACCAGCCACACUGGAACUGAGACACGGUCCAGACUCCUACGGGAGGCAGCAGUGGGGAAUAUUGCACAAUGGGCGCAAGCCUGAUGCAACCAUGCCGCGUGUAUGAAGAAGGCCUUCGGGUUGUAAAGUACUUUCAGCGGGGAGGAAGGGAGUAAAGUUAAUACCUUUACUCAUUGACGUUACCCGCAGAAGAAGCACCGG
rnacentral:rRNA from 1 species